AGUGAACGCUGGCGGUAGGCCUAACACAUGCAAGUCGAACGGCAGCACAGUAAGAGCUCGCUCUUACGGGUGGCGAGUGGCGGACGGGUGAGGAAUACAUCGGAAUCUACUUUUUCGUGGGGGAUAACGUAGGGAAACUUACGCUAAUACCGCAUACGACCUACGGGUGAAAGCAGUGGAUCUUUCGACCUUGCGCGAUCGAAUGAGCCGAUGUCGGAUUAGCCAAUUGGCGGAGGAAUGGCCCACCAAGGCGACGAUCCGUAGCUGGUCUGAGAAGAUGAUCAGCCACACUGGACCUGAGACACGGUCCAGACUCCUACGGGAGGCAGCAGUGGGGAAUAUUCGGCAGUGGGCGCAAGCCUGAUCCAGCCAUACCGGGUGGUUGAAGCAGGCCUUCGGGUUGUAAAGCCCUUUUGUUGGGAAAGAAAAGCAGCAGGUUAAUACCCCGCUGUUCUGGCGUUACCCAAAGAAUAAGCACCGGCUAACUUCGUG
rnacentral:rRNA from 1 species